rnacentral:rRNA from 1 species
AGUGAACGCUGGCGGCAGGCUUAACACAUGCAAGUCGAACGAAGUCUUCGGACUUAGUGGCGGACGGGUGAGUAACACGUGGGAACGUACCUUUUGGUUCGGAACAACUCAGGGAAACUUGAGCUAAUACCGGAUGAGCCCUUAGGGGGAAAGAUUUAUCGCCGAAAGAGCGGCCCGCGUUAGAUUAGCUAGUUGGUGAGGUAAAGGCUCACCAAGGCUACGAUCUAUAGCUGGUCUGAGAGGAUGAUCAGCCACACUGGGACUGAGACACGGCCCAGACUCCUACGGGAGGCAGCAGUGGGGAAUCUUGCGCAAUGGGCGAAAGCCUGACGCAGCCAUGCCGCGUGAAUGAUGAAGGUCUUAGGAUUGUAAAAUUCUUUUACCAGGGACGAUAAUGACGGUACCUGGAGAAAAAGCCCCGGCUAACUUCGUGCCAGCCGCCGCGGUAAAAC